rnacentral:tRNA from 1 species
GAGGGUACAGCUCAGUGGUAGAGCAUGUGCUUAGCAUGAACAAGGUCCUGGGUUCAAUCUCCAGUACCUCCA